GACGAACGCUGGCGGCGUGCUUAACACAUGCAAGUCGAACGGAAAGGCCCUGCUUUUGUGGGGUGCUCGAGUGGCGAACGGGUGAGUAACACGUGAGUAACCUGCCCUUGACUUUGGGAUAACUUCAGGAAACUGGGGCUAAUACCGGAUAGGAGCUCCUGCUGCAUGGUGGGGGUUGGAAAGUUUCGGCGGUUGGGGAUGGACUCGCGGCGUAUCAGCUUGUUGGUGGGGUAGUGGCUUACCAAGGCUUUGACGGGUAGCCGGCCUGAGAGGGUGACCGGCUACAUUGGGACUGAGAUACGGCCCAGACUCCUACGGGAGGAAGCAGUGGGGAAUAUUGAACUAUGGGCGGAACCCGCAUGCAGCAACGCCGCGUGCGGGAUGACGGCCUUCGGGUUGUAAACCGUUUUCGCCUGUGACGAAGCGUGAGUGACGGUAAUGGGUAAAGAAGCACCGGCUAACUACGUG
rnacentral:rRNA from 1 species